rnacentral:tRNA from 3 species
GUAAAUAUAGUUUAACAAAAACUUUAGAUUGUGAGUCUAACAAUAGAAUAGGACAUUCUUAUUUACC